rnacentral:rRNA from 1 species
GAUGAACGCUGGCGGCGUGCCUAAUACAUGCAAGUCGAGCGAAUGGAUUAAGAGCUUGCUCUUAUGAAGUUAGCGGCGGACGGGUGAGUAACACGUGGGUAACCUGCCCACAAGACUGGGAUAACUCCGGGAAACCGGGGCUAAUACCGGAUAACAUUUUGAACCGCAUGCUUCGAAAUUGAAAGGCGGCUUCGGCUGUCACUUAUGGAUGGAUCCGCGUCGCAUAAGCUAGUUGGGGAGGUAACGGCUCACCAAGGCAACGAUACGUAGCCGACCUGAGAGGGUGAUCGGCCACACUGGGACGGAGACACGGCACAGACUCCUACGGGAGGCAGGAGUAGGGAAUCUUCCGCAAUGGUCGAAAGUCUGACGGAGCAACGCCGCGUGAGUGAUGAAGGCUUUCGGGUCGUAAAACUCUGUGGUUAGGGAAGAACAAGUGCUAGUUGAAUAAGCUGGCACCUUGACGGUACCUACCCGGAAAGCCACGGCUAACUACGUGCCAGCCGCCGCGGUAA